rnacentral:rRNA from 1 species
UACGUAGGGUGCAAGCGUUGUCCGGAAUUAUUGGGCAUAAAGGGCUCGUAGGCGGUCCAUCGCGUCGGGAGUGAAAAGCUGGGGCUUAACCCCAGUCCUGCUUCCGAUACGGGUGGACUAGAGGUAGGCAGGGGAGAACGGAAUUCCUGGUGUAGCGGUGAAAUGCGCAGAUAUCAGGAGGAACACCAAUAGCGAAGGCAGCUCGCUGGGACGGUACUGACACUAAGGCGCGAAAGCGUGGGGAGCGAACAGG